rnacentral:rRNA from 1 species
UACGUAGGGUGCGAGCGUUGUCCGGAAUUAUUGGGCGUAAAGGGCUCGUAGGCGGUCUGUUACGUCGGGAGUGAAAACUCGGGGCUCAACCCCGAGCCUGCUUCCGAUACGGGCAGACUAGAGGUAUGCAGGGGAGAAUGGAAUUCCUGGUGUAGCGGUGAAACGCGCAGAUAUCAGGAGGAACACCGGUGGCGAAGGCGGUUCUCUGGGCAUUACCUGACGCUGAGGAGCGAAAGUGUGGGGAGCGAACAGG